rnacentral:tRNA from 1 species
CAUAUUCUAAUAUGGCAGAUUAGUGCAAUGAAUUUAAGCUUCAUAUAUAAAGUUUUACUUUUGUUAGAAA